rnacentral:rRNA from 1 species
UACGGGGGGAGCAAGCGUUGUUCGGAUUUACUGGGCGUAAAGGGCGCGUAGGCGGUAGCACAAGUCAGUUGUGAAAUCUCCGGGCUUAACUCGGAAAGGUCAACUGAUACUGUGCGACUAGAGUGCAGAAGGGGCAACUGGAAUUCUCGGUGUAGCGGUGAAAUGCGUAGAGAUGCGGAGGAACACCGAUGGCGAAGGCAGCCCCCUGGGCUAGCACUGACGCUCAGGCACGAAAGCGUGGGGAGCAAACAGG